rnacentral:piRNA from 1 species
UAACUAAAGAAAAUUUUCUGACACUUGAGC